rnacentral:rRNA from 1 species
UACGUAGGGGGCGAGCGUUGUCCGGAAUUACUGGGCGUAAAGGGCGUGUAGGCGGUUUUUUAAGUUAGGAGUGAAAACCCAGAGCUUAACUCUGUGAUUGCUUCUAAAACUGGGAGACUUGAGUGCAGGAGAGGAAAGUAGUAUUCCUGGUGUAGCGGUGAAAUGCGUAGAUAUCAGGAGGAAUACUCGUGGCGAAGGCGGCUUUCUGGCCUGUAACUGACGCUGAGGCGCGAAAGCGUGGGGAGCAAACAGG